UCGUGGGUGGAGCCCGGCUCCCGUAGGAGUCCGGGCGAAGUCCUUGUGCAGCCAGAAUUAGGAACGAGACUCGACUCCCGUAGGAGUCCGGGCGGAGUCUUCCUGCAGCUGGAGCUGGAGACGAGAUCUGGCUCCUGUAGGAGUCCGGGCUGAAAUCUGGUAGUUGUAGGAAUCUACCAUUGGAGAAGUUCAGCCGUUGGCAAAGUCCGGGGUAGUUCGGAUUGGAGUUGAACUUGGCUGGAAGAAGUCCGGAAGGGAUUCGGGGAGCAGUUGAUAGUCGUAGAAAGUCGACUGGCGGCGAAGCUUAGUGAGCGCUCAAGGCGGUUUAAUAGAUAACUGGGGGAACUCAUGUUGAGGGAGCUCGGGUGGUGUAGUGGGAGUUCGUCCGUCGGGGGAAUUCAGUCAACACUAUGGGAAUCCGACUGUUGG
rnacentral:lncRNA from 1 species